UGUUCCAGCCCCCUCACCAGCUUCCUUGCCCUUCUCUGGACAUGUUCCACUAUCUCAACGUCUCUCUUGAAUUGAGAAGCCCAGAACUGGAGUGGCUGAGGGAGUUGGGGUUGCUCAGCCUGCAGAAGAGGAGGCUCAGAGGAGACCUUGUUGCUCUCUAUGACUACCUGAAAGGAGGUUGCAGCCAGCUCUGCACGGUUGGCCCUGGCACCAGAAAGACUAAAUGAAAAUGGACAGCUCCCAAUGGUAGAUGCUCUCCUAGAUCAAAGAGAAGAGAAAUUUUGUUUGUCUUCUAAAAUAAACAGUAUCUUUUCAGGUUCACGUGCUCCAAAGAA